rnacentral:rRNA from 1 species
CCUACGGGAGGCAGCAGUGGGGAAUAUUGCGCAAUGGGCGCAAGCCUGACGCAGCGACGCCGCGUGCGGGAUGAAGGUCUUCGGAUCGUAAACCUCUGUCAGCAGGGAAGAACGGUCACUGUGCUAAUCAGCAGUGAAUUGACGGUACCUGCAAAGGAAGCACCGGCUAACUCCGUGCCAGCAGCCGCGGUAAUACGGAGGGUGCGAGCGUUAAUCGGAUUUACUGGGCGUAAAGCGCUCGUUGGCGGUAUGUCAAGUCAAGGGUGAAAUCCCCGCGCUCAACGUGGGAACUGCCUUUGAAACGGGCAAACUGGAGUGUGUGAGAGGAUAGUGGAAUUCCAGGUGUAGGAGUGAAAUGCGUAGAUAUCUGGAGGAACAUCAGUGGCGAAGGCGACUAUCUGGCACAUAACUGACGCUGAGGAGCGAAAGCGUGGGUAGCAAACAGGAUUAGAUACCCGAGUAGUC